AUGGCGUUGGGAGAAAUAUGUUGCACUAUCGAUAUAAGCAAGACUAGGAGCUCUUCAAAAACAGCAGGCUUCCUGUUUUUUCUUUUAUUGCAAAUGAGUCUGCUCUCUAAAGUAUGGACAACUUCCACAACAGCUAGUCCAGCAACCACUCUGAAAACAGAUGCCAAAUCAUCUACAGUGUCAGACCCUGUUACCCAGAGUUUGACAACUCAGUCUACGUAUCCGGUAAGCAUGUCCUCCUCCAUUUCUACUGACCAGAUGGCCACAUCAGGCUCUACAGUGACAGGAGCUUCAUCCACCUCAACACAGAACACUGCUUCUAACAGUGCUACUGUCGCCUCAGCUGGUAUUACUAGUAUGGAGACAGCAAACAUAUCUUCUUCAGAAAAUUACACGGCGCUAUCCUGUCCAGCAUUUGCUUGCACAAAAGAUUGUUAUGACCAGUUCAUGAAUAUGACGGCGAAGCCCUGCCAAUCCAGUGAAUACUUCUGUAAGAUAAUGAAAGGCGAUGCAGGUUACUCUGUCAGCUGCAGUGCCUCAUGUGGCGUGCCCUGUGAGAACGGGACUCUUAGUAAUUGCUCUGUCAACUGUUGCAACACAACUAACUGCCUCAACAACAGUCUGCUUGCCAUGUUCAAUUCACUCAAUACCACAGCUACAACAAAACCAACUACUACAACCACAACCAUAAAGACCACAGUUCCAACCACCCCAGCAAGCAAUGGCAAGAAGUGUCAUAAUUUCAAGUGUAAUGGAGCAGCGUGUUACAAAGCCAAUGUCGCCAGUAAUGCUGCAUGUCCAGUUGGUCUGGACUACUGCAUGCUACAAAAGACAACAUCUGGCACCACAGAAAGCUGGCAGGCGGGUUGCAGUACAGAUUGCAGAAAGAUGACAGCUUGUUCAAGCACCAGUACUGCCUGUCACCUGGAGUGCUGCAAUGCCACUACCACCUCAUGCCUCAAACUGACAGGUGAAGUGAACAUGCCCAGCUCUGCCACCAGGAGUCCUCACUGUCCCGCACUGCUCAUGGCCUCUUUGCUGUUCUUCUGGAUAGUCAAAAUCUUAAAUUGAGCAUAACAGUUACAUUUAAUAUGCAAUCCAUUCUGUUAGGAGAGUGUGUGUGUCUUAAAGCUGAUUGUACUUCUUUUACUGUCACUUUUACAUUCUUUGUGAUGUAAGCAAAUUAAGGUGUGUGUGUGUCUAUAAGAUCAACAUGAGAAGCAGAAUGUAUGUAUAUAUAUAUAUAUAUAUAUAUAUAUAUAUAUAUGUGUGUGUGUGUGUGUGUGUGUGUGUGUGUGUGUGUGUGUGUGUGUGUAGAUGCCAAAUAAGCUUUACCAUUGGCAUCUGUAUGUGUGAGAGCUACAUCAAGUGGGAACAUGUUGGAUUCUUUCUAUCACAGAGUUAGACAGAAAUGAUCCAAAGAGGAAUAUAUUAACAAUGCAGUGACAAAUAUGAGGUUUGCUUCCUCUCACGAGUUGUGUAUGUUUGAUUAAUUCUUGCUCUUUUUUGCCGUUAAUGUACACUGUAAGAAAAAUAAAUAUGUAGAAAAUGGACA
ensembl:lncRNA